rnacentral:rRNA from 1 species
GUGCCAGCCGACGCGGUAAUACAUAGGGGUCAAGCGUUGUCCGGAUUUAUUGGGCGUAAAGAGCUCGUAGGCGGUUCAACAAGUCGGUCGUAAAAGUUUAGGGCUCAACCCUGAAAUGUCUAUCGAUACUGUUGUGACUAGGAUACGGCAGAGGUGAGUGGAAUUCCGAGUGUAGCGGAGAAAUGCGUAGAUAUUCGGAGGAACACCGAUUGCGAAGGCAGUUCACUGGACCGUGAUCGACGCUGAGGAGCGAAAGCUAGGGGAGCAAACAGGAUUAGAUA